rnacentral:rRNA from 1 species
GACGAACGCUGGCGGCGUGCUUAACACAUGCAAGUCGAGCGGUAAGGCCCUUUGGGGUACACGAGCGGCGAACGGGUGAGUAACACGUGAGUAAUCUGCCUUUGGCUUGGGAAUAACUUCGGGAAAUCGGGGCUAAUGCCUGAUGUUUACUGUCUGCUGCAUGGUGGGUGGUGGAAAGAUUUUUUGGCCAGGGAGUGAGCUCGCGGUCUAUCAGCUUGUUGGUGGGGUAAGUGG